ACCAAAGAAUAAGAAAUCAUGCGCGAACCCUCUCAUUUUUCAUCUUCAUCCUUAGUUCUUCAUCCUUGGUUCUGCAAAACCACAAAUCCGUCACCCGCGAAUCCAAACUCAUUUUUCAUCCUUCAACCUUCGUUCUUCAUCAAACCCAGCCACAAAUUAAACACACAUUUUACCCAUGAAAACGUUUUCAUCCUUCCACAUUUAACCUUCAUCCUGUGAAAACGUGAAUCGCAGCUUUCAGCCUUCAUCGCCGGCGAGUUGGUCCGGCGCAACAUUUUUCUACUUCAGCACCGACGACGAGUUUUCUUUGUCUUCCUCUUCCAUCUAUCAAGGAGCAUUUCCGUCGAGAAGUGUCAAUUUCUUUCACUAUCGAGAAGUAUUUGUUGCUUUCUCCGGGUAUGAUAUACUGAUUUAUGGAGAAGACAAAGGAGAAGAAAACAACCACUGCCAAGUCUGCUGGUUAAUCUGUUCUUGCACCUGUAAAAAUCUACGAAAUGACAGCUGAAGAGAAAGAGAAAUUUAAAAAAAGAGUAGAAAAGACUUAGGAGAAAAGUUGCUAGUUUAAUAAAAAAGCAUAAGACGCAACAAGCUAUGGGGAUAGUUCGGAGAAGGGAUGAAGGUAAGCCUUGGGGACAGGAAGCCCAAGUGAAGGUUUGUAAUAUUUGUAUUGUACCAAUGAACAAGGAAGUUUUUUUUUUUUUUUUGUGUUACUAUAUAGUUACUGCAUAUUUUCCAAGUCUGCUCUUGUUUGAUACAACUAUUAAUAGAAAUUGCGUACUUACAACCACCUGCCAAUCAAUUUGGAGACAGUCCACCAGAUAUUUACCCUGCGUUCACGCAUACCCUCAAAACAAUUUAUGCCGAUUCAAGCAAUGGAAGUAGAAGAUAUGGCGCUAUUGAAUGUGACCCUAUGAUACAAAAGGGUCUUGAAAAGACUGCCAUGCACAUGCCUAUCCCCUACAUGCCAAUGUUGGUUCCACCUACUAACUGAAUAGGGUAUGACAAAUGAGCAUACUUGUUUUUGCUAUCAUAUGUAAUGAGAAUACAUGGAGCAAAGCAGCAACGUGAAGCUGUAAAAAGGGCUCCCAAGAAUCAACUUAACCUAUUAUUUGACGUUGGAAUUUUUUUUAAUGUUUGUGCAUUUGCAUCUGAGUUCAUGGUUCCAGAUUAAUACUUAAUACUUCUUGAAAUUAAUUCUGGAAUUGUUUUAGGCCUUUAAUACCCUUGGUGAUACAAAAUGGAGGGUAAACAAAAGUGUACUUGACGUGAUAGAUCAAAUAUGGGCUAAUGGAGGCCGCUUGGCUGACUUGGUGGAUCGUGAUGAUAGCUUUGGGUGAAUAUAAUAAGUUGCAAAGAUUAAGAAAGAACAAGCUCACAUGGAGCAUUCCCAUUUACCAAAGACAACCUAAAGGUUAUGAGUGUGGUUACUACAUUAUGAUACAUAUGUUGAACAUUGUAUCUAGUGAUCUUGUUGAUUCAUGGAUGCGGGUAUGUGAUAGAUUUUUUCAAAGUUAGUAUUAAUUAGCUACUUAUGAUUUUUAUGGUCACAUGAUUUAGAUAACUUUGUUAUUUCAAUGUUCAUAAUUCAUAUACUUGGAGAAUCAAAACCAUUCGAAGAUGAAGAAAUGAUGAAUGUUCGACAACGUUGUGCAAACUUGAUUCAUGAACUAAUAGAAAAUGUUUGAAGCACUUGUAUCAUUUUAGUAUCUUUAGACUGUUAA